GAAUGUUUCAAGUUUCAUUGUGGUUGUGAGACAUAGUUUGGGUGGUUUUCUUUGUUGGGUCUAUUCCAUAUUUAUGCACUCUCUUCUUCUUAUCCUUCAAAACAAGAACUCUCAUGUCCAUGGGUGAAGGUGAAGAGCAACUGCUUCAAGCUCCAGUUUUAGCCUCUCUGACACAACAGGAUAAACAUAAUGUAAAGCAUGAAGAUCAAUGGAUGAUCAUGGAAGGCGAUGAUGUUGAUGAUGAUGAUAUUUAUAACGCAUCUUCACUUGAUAAUUCA
rnacentral:misc_RNA from 1 species